UACGUAGGUGGCAAGCGUUAUCCGGAAUUACUGGGCGUAAAGGGCGCGUAGGCGGCCUUCUAAGUCGAACGUGAAAUCCCCGGGCUCAACCCGGGAACUGCGUCCGAUACUGGGAGGCUUGAAUCCGGGAGAGGGAUGUGGAAUUCCAGGUGUAGCGGUGAAAUGCGUAGAUAUCUGGAGGAACACCGGUGGCGAAGGCGGCAUCCUGGACCGGUAUUGACGCUGAGGCGCGAAAGCCAGGGGAGCAAACGGG
rnacentral:rRNA from 1 species